AGUCUGAUGGAUCUGGGUGACUGGGCAAGUUCUUUAGCUUGUCAAACCUUCAUUUCUCUAAUUUAUAACAUAAGGACAGUACCUUCUUCCUGUCAAGGUUGAGGCAAGCAUUAGUGAGAAACGUCUCAAGGCCUGGUUCACAUUAAAGGUCAAAAAAGAGAGAAAACAUCACUGUUCUCUUCAGCAGAACUUUUGUCAGUGUGAUCGAGAAUUGUCUCAAGUGACAAGUGAGCUGACCAGGGAACCCUGGGUGGCAGGUACUAUUGGCACCAUUUUCCAGAUAAAGAAAAUGAAGUUCUAAGCAGUCAAAUGACAUGUCAAGAUCACCCAACUGUAAAGGAUGACAGAGGGCACAGAAGCCACCAGCAGAUUCUUUGGAAGGAAGUAACAGGAGUGGAACUUCAUUUUCCCAUGGAUUGUAAAGGGCUGGGCUCCCUUCCACCUCUUCUCACUGGCCUCCUGUUUGUACCCCUGACCUCUCCGGGAUCUGGAUCCCAACACUGUCUUCUGCAAUGAAAACCCUGAUUUUCUAUAUCUGGACAAAAGACUAGGACAUAACGAGAAUUUUAGCGGAAGGAACUGAGGGAGAGAGAUUGCACAGCAGACAAGGACAAAUAAAGGGAAGGUGGAAACAAGGUCUUGCUAUGUCACCCAGGCUGGAGUGCAGUUGCG
rnacentral:lncRNA from 1 species